AUGGCUUGUGCUCGCUCUGUGGAAGAGCCAAGCGUGCUGGGAUCUGUGUGGCUUGCACCUUCUGUACGGAGAGCUGAGGUGCCUGCGGUCUGUUCUGCUCUAACCCUAGUGAAGCACAGAACUGUCUGCGAAUGCCCGGGAUUGACCCCUCAUCAGGUGAAUUGUUGGCUUCAGCUCUGGAGCUGGCACCCAAGUGGUAUCGGACCACCAUUUGGGGAAAAACACCGGUCAUACGACCUGUGUAACUUGAACAUGGUUUCAGAAAGAAAGCAAAACAACAAAAAACAACUCAGAUGUCAUUGUGAUGGCUUGUAUUCCUGUAAACAUUCCCGGUCUUGCAAGUUGUUUACCUGUGAAAGACUUGGAUGUGAAUUUAAAGCACAGACAAAGUGUUUGUGUGAUGAGGUACUGUGCAUUAUCUUUGAAGAGAAGUGUUUAGUGCAGGCAUUGGAGCUGUUGUGUUUACAUCCCCGAAAGGGGCUGGGUGAAGGAGGUGAGUGUCUGUAUGUGAAGGCCAAAAAUAGUGCGGUUCUGCACUGAUGUUCCUAUGUAGCAAGCAUUGGUAACUGGUCCCUGGGCUGCUGAAAGCAGAAUUACUGAGAGGGUCAGGGACUUCAAAAGCAGUGGCAGCUAGCAAAUUAAUUUUCUCAACGUUAGGUGAACAGGUCUCACUUGAAUACGCCAGGGGUUGGUGCAGUUCCAGAAAUACCCUUGGCUAAGUGAAAUGUGCACCAAAACAUCUGGACGUUGUAAAGCAUUAACUUUUUUUGCCAAAUCUCAUGCUGUCCAGACAGUAUUUCUGCUACCCCCUAACGGUAUAUUAAGCUAAAUGCAUCUCCAGCCUUCCGCUACUGACUUCAGGACAGUUUGAGAGAGAUGAGAGUAACAUUGGAGCCUGAGGCUUUAGGUUAGCAGUCCCAAAGCCAAUGGUGGCCCACAUUUCCACAAGCCCUGGGCAGAAUUACCAAGUCACAGCACUUAGUCUUGAAUUGCACUGUAUUCCUAUGCCUCUGUGUUGCUAUAAUGUACAUAAUAUAUUGGAUUUUUUUGUAGAUAAGACAUUUUAGAUAAAAUUUUUAAAUGGGCUCCCCCCAAAAUAUUUUAUGCCAGAUGUCUAAUUUUUUUUACACUUGGGAUUAACAUGAAGUCGGAUGCUCUAUGGGCAGGGAAAAGAUAAAACAGAUGGUACAUUGGCUUUAAAAAGGUAACAAUGCAUGUAAAGAAAAAAAAAAAACACUGGAGAAAAAAAAAACUGCUUGGGGAAAAAAUCCAUUCAAAUAUAUUCUAUGUUCUGCAUAAUAAAGAAUUUAAAAAUAAAAGUUCUGUUGUGAUU
rnacentral:lncRNA from 1 species